GACGAAAAAAAUAAUAAUAAAAACAGUACAAUUUCUAUUUUGCAACCCAAUCUAUCCUGGUCUAUCCUUUCUAUUUCUAUUAAAUUGUCGUUCGUUCUUCUCAUAUAUGUAUCCAUUUCUCGGCCUAAUGUGUUCUUUAGUCUUCCUCUUCUCCUAUGGCCUUCAGGAUUCCAUUUGAGAGCUGGCCUCAUGAUGCAGUUGGGUGCCUUUCUCACAGCGCGGUAACGCGACCAACCUCGGAGACGUCGGCGAGAGUUCUGGGAAGAGUUCUCUUUUCUUUAUUAGAAGUGCAUCCACUCCCUCGAAUCGGCCUGUCCGGAGAUAGAAGGCUAGCCUCCGUAAAACACCACCCUUCUCGUGCUAUCCGGAACGCUCUUGUCGACCCUUGAAAAUCCGAGCGAGAUAGUAUAAUUUUCGUGGCAGACCGUACCCAUAUCCGCAGCAGGCCUCCAAGGUGAACAGCCUCU
rnacentral:ncRNA from 1 species